CGUUUUGUGUGUGUGUGUGUGUGUGUGUGUGCUUUCCAGUUGGAAAAAAGGAGUUGGGGGUUGUUAAAAGGAACUCCUACAACUCAACAACAGCAAAAAUCUGAUUUGAAAAUGGGCAAAGUACUUAAACAGACAUUUCUCCAAAUAUGAUAUAGAUACAAGUGACCAGCAGGCAUAUGAAGAUGGCCAACAUCACUCAGAAUGAGGGAGACGCAAAAGAAAACCACAGCGAGAUCCUCACCCCCCCCCGCCCCCCGCCCAUGAGGAUGGCUACUAUAAAAACAAACAGAGAACAAAUGCCGGUGAGGAUUUGGAGAAACUGGGAAAUUCGUGCACCGUGAAUGGGAAUGUAAAAUGGUGCAGCUGCUGUGGAAAACAGUCUGGUAGUUCCUCAAAAAGUUAAAAAUAGAACUACCAUAUGAUCCAGCAAUUCCUCUCUGGGUAUUAGCCAACAGAAUUAAAAGCAAGACCUCGAAGCGAUACUUGUUCAUAGCAGCAUUAUUCACAACAGCCAAAAGAUGGGCAAAGUGAGGAGCAGGAGGGGCAGGACUUGGCUGACGUCCAUCCUCGGCAGCAGCCUCCCGAACUGGGUCCUCACGAGGAGACUAUUAGGAAGCCUCAUGCGUACCUCCUUUGGGGACCCUAACAUUUGGUGUUGAAAACCCAGGAGGGUUCCACGGGGAAGGGGAGAGAUCGCUGGCCUCCCUCCCUUACGGCCAAGGAGGACACCAGAUCCAGGACCUCUCCCUCCCACUGCUGGGCCCCCGCUCAAUACUGGCUCGUUUCAUCUCCGGCACCACCUCUGGAGCCAAGAGACCAGAAUUCUCCUGGGACUUCUCCUGGGACUUAUCAACUCACCAAACAUUCUGAGCCUCACUGCUUUCAUUUAUAAGGAAAUGCGAACUCCCAUCCCGACUAAACUCCAACUGUUGCGAAGGCCUCUGUUUAUGUUGUGUCCAGGGUCCAAACCUAGAAUUCGAAGGACUUUGAGGUAUGAGCCAUAUUUGCUAAUCACCUAAGCAAUGGCACAAAGUGCUGGAGUUUCAAUGUAAUGAGUGAUCUUGUGCCAAUCCUGAGUCCCGGGGGUGGCGUCGGGGUCCCUGAGAGGAGCCAUGUCUGGCUCUCAGGCCCCUCCGGCCUCCGGGACUGUCCACGCCGGUCACGUUCCCCUGUUGAUCGAGGAGGAUGCGUCCAACCUCACCAGCUGGUUUCGCGUGUCUUGGACAUUCAUCUGGCGGCCGUAUGACAGUAUUCACCAUUGCUGGGAGGUAAGAUGCGUCGUUUGAGGGGAGACCGGGGAACCGCUCAUGCUACUAUGACUGUUUGGACUCAGCCUCAUGGGAAAGCAGAUGCCAGUGACUCACGUGCUUUGCCUUGUGCUGGGGUUUGGUCAGCGCUUGGGUGAGCUGGGUGAGUUUCAUGUCUGUCCCCCGAGGGCUUUUCCUCCAUUGAUUCACGCUCGCUCCUGGUGAGGACGGGGCGCCCAUCCGGGGCCCUGCAGGCCACUCGGUCCUCAGGUGGCCCUGGGAGGGAAGCACACAGGCCGCACAGACCCUGGAGCAGGGGCCCCGGUGGCCCAGCCUUCUCUCCGGAGGGAAGGGCCUGGACGUGAGCAGGUGACGUCCGUGCUGUGCUGCCCGCGCUAUCCUCCUGGCUCAGCCACAACCGGAGAACUCCCCAGGGCAGGGCCUUAGCGGCUCCCAUGAUGCUUUUCUUCUUAACCCAGCAGGAGUCAAAGAUAUAAUGCAAACCCUAGGCACUCAUCUAACGUUAAUCUCUUCCUUCUGUCAUGUUUGCAUAACGAUAAUCUGAGGAAAUUAUCCUGGAAGAAUACAUUCUCUAAUGGUAAUAUUCCCCCUGAGAAAGAUGUCAGCCAUCUGCUGUCGGCGUUCUUGUUAUUAGAAUGUCCUGCUUUGCCUGAAGAACUAGGAGGUUUGUUCUAAACUAGCAUCCCAUUUGAAGAAACGCGGCCUCGUGAUGAAAUAUGUCAUGGCCGUCCCUGCAAAAAGUUCCCUCCGACCCCUCGCUCGGAACACACACGCCAGCCGGGUCCCUGCACUGAGCUGCUGUCACCCAGACGACACGUGGGCGGGUGGGAGGUGAGGGGGAGCCGGCGUUGGACUCAGGCCGCCCCUUCCCCUCCAGAUAAGGUGACGGGCUCACGCGGGCUCUCAGCCGCUGCCACCCGCUCCCAGGCUGGCUUCCUCUGCGCUGCUCCCUGUCAGGGUCUCCCGUGCUGCCUGGUCCUCAGGCCCAGGGACAAGCCCAGCCCCUCACCGAGGACCCACGAAGCUCAGUCUCAGAAGGCGUGUGCGUGACAGGCAUUACCGAAUGGUGGGGGUGCCUGGCUCAUAGGAGGUGGACGGUAAAGAUCCGCACAAGCACUGAUCGCACAUUAGGGCGUCUUGCUCUGAGCUGUCUUCAGCCCCCACCCCUGCGGACUGCCCUGGCCCCUUCUCAGCCUCCCUGCUCGAAGGUGCCAGGGACCCGGCUGACUCCUCAGAGGGUCGCGUAUUCCUCUGCUCCUCCCGUGGCCCGAAAGGUUCCGGGUGUGUCUGUGCGGGGUCCCCUCAGCCCCACGCCCCAGUCACCAGGAGACAAGGUGGAGAAGUGUCUGGAGGGGAAGAAGGGGGUUCUCAGGGCGCACGCUGCUCCCCACUGUCCCGCUGGUCCCUUCGCGCGGCUUCUCUGCUGGAGCUGGUGCUCUGGCAGAACGGGCAGGACAGGGGUAACUUGGUGGGGAAGCCACAGACGCCUCUGCCGCCGCCUCCGCCCCACCUGGCCUCCCCCAGGGGGAGGGGGGCCGGGGGCUCUGUCCACGGCCACUGUCCACAGCUGUCCUUUCGCUGCACUCUGGGUCUGUGCUCGCUACUCAUUUUCUUGAAACUUUCUCAAAACGGAGCGACAUAUUACUUAGAGAUGGUGCAUACCGAGUAAAACGUACAAGGAAAAGCUAGGCAUGGCUGACGUGAGAGCCAAGAGGCGCUU